rnacentral:rRNA from 1 species
ACUCCAGAGUAGCAUUGGAGGGCAGUCUGGUGCCAGCAGCCGCGGUAAUUCCAGCUCCAAUAGCGUAUAUUAAACUUCGUUGCAGUUAAAAAGCUCGUAGUUCGUAUUUUUCGCUUCGGCGGUUUGUUGCCUUUGUGGCUUGAUUCCGCUUGGCUUUUGGCUUUUUGCCUUAUUACUUUGAGAAAAUUAGAGUGUUUCAAGCAGACUUUUGUCUUGAAUACUGUAGCAUGGAAUAAUAGAGUAGGACUUUGGUUCUAUUUUGUUGGUUUGGGAACCUUGGUAAUGGUUAAUAGGAACGGUUGGGGGCAUUCGUAUUUAACUGUCAGAGGUGAAAUUCUUAGAUUUGUUAAAGACGAACUACUGCGAAAGCAUUUGCCAAGGACGUUUCCAUUAAUCAAGAACGAAAGUUAGGGGAUCGAAGACGAUCAGAUACCGUCGUAGUCCUAACCAUAAACUAUGCCGACUAGUGAUUGGAGGUCGUCGUUUGUUUGACCCCUUCAGGAGCUUGAGAGAAAAAAAGCUUUUUUUGGA